rnacentral:rRNA from 1 species
AACGAACGCUGGCGGCAUGCCUAACACAUGCAAGUCGAACGAGACCUUCGGGUCUAGUGGCGCACGGGUGCGUAACGCGUGGGAAUCUGCCCUUCGGUUGGGAAUAACUGAGAGAAAUUUCAGCUAAUACCUUAUAAUGUCUUCGGACCAAAGAUUUAUCGCCGAGGGAUGAGCCCGCGUAGGAUUAGGUAGUUGGUGGGGUAAUGGCCUACCAAGCCGACGAUCCUUAGCUGGUCUGAGAGGAUGAUCAGCCACACUGGGUCUGAGACACGGCCCAGACUCCUACGGGAGGCAGCAGUGGGGAAUAUUGGACCAUGGGCGAAAGCCUGAUCCAGCAAUGCCGCGUGAGUGAUGAAGGCCUUAGGGUUGUAAAGCUCUUUUACCCGGGAUGAUAAUGACAGUACCGGGAGAAUAAGCUCCGGCUAACUCCGUG